rnacentral:lncRNA from 1 species
CAACGGAUGAGGAGGGAGCCGUGUGUUGAAUCACAGAGAAAAUUAGUUGUUUAUGGUCAUUUACGUUGGGAAUUAUUCUUAUAAAAUCUGCCCUUGUUUCAUUUGGCUCUGAUUACAUGUUGAUGAGAUUGUGGACAACUUCGUCAAGGUGCACCAACAUGAAGCCCUUUGUUGGAAAGGGCUCAGAAGAGAGAUGGAAAUGAUUAAUGGUUGGCGAACACAAGAAUCUUAGGGCAGGGACGUUGCCGCCAAGUCUAGAGGGUCGAGCGCAAGGGAGAAAGGCUUCCAGAGAAGGAGAGCUGAGCAGUGCAGGUGGAGGCAGCAGCUAGAGCCGCAGUGCAGAGGCCAGGAGCCUGCCGUGUACCGGCUGUCUGCGACCAGCGUGGCACUGGUGAGAGAUGCAUCCAGUCGGAGCAGGGCAGGUCUCCCAAGGAGAGUGCAACACAUACUUGGAUGUCAGAGAGUCAUCCAGGCCAGACUGCAGACACCAUCCAGGCCUCUGACGCCUCCUGAGCUCAUUCCCGGAGGCACUCAGGUAUCCGCUGAAACCACCGCUCUGCAAGUCCCCACCCGUCCUCUGCAUUUGCUGUCUGGGAUUCCAAAGGAAAUGCCGCCGGCCUCCUAGGACAGCUCUCAAGCCGCCGAGUGGCUUCCUAUUGAUUGCAAAGCACGCCCAUGCUCCUCCAUCAGCCACAGAGUUGCACUUCUUCUUCCCCGAGGUAUUUCUUCAAACAAUGUUUUCAAGAGGGCAGAAGGACCUGGAGCAGGCAUGGGAAGCCCUCAGCUUUACUCAGGGAGAGGCUGCCCCCUCCGUUACAGCCCUUGCAGAGUGGACCAGCACUGCGAUGAACAAUGCCUGGCCCAUCCUUGCCCCAGCUGCCCCCAGCCGGGCUGCAUUUGCUGCAGUGGGGACUUUGAGGGUGGGGCGCUUGCGUCAAGAAAACAAUUCAAUAUAAUUUAAGAUGCAACAGAGACACAAAUAACAUCUCUUUCUCUGUCAAGACUUCGUCUAGGUACUAUUUUUGAAUGAAGCUGAGGAAUUGAAGAAAAACCUGAGAGAAAAUUCUGAAAUAUAAUAAAAUUGAACUAACAUCAAACUACCUUGGAGGCCAGAGAAGUUAAUUACAUCAACCUAGAGCUGUGCAGUCUGCAGAGACUCGGAGCUAACGUCUAUUUUUCCUUCUAGAGCAGAUUUCAGGCAGCAAAUUCAGCUGGGAAUUCUAGUGCAGGAUAAUAGUUCUUUUUUUUAUUGACCAAAUUGGGCAAAUUAAACAAAAAAUGUAUUGAG